GAUGAACGCUGGCGGCGUGCCUAACACAUGCAAGUCGAACGAAGCGCCUUACCGGAUUCUUCGGAUGAAGGUCUGGUGACUGAGUGGCGGACGGGUGAGUAACGCGUGGGUAACCUGCCCUGUACAGGGGGAUAACAGCUGGAACCGGCUGCUAAUACCGCAUAACCGCACGAGGAGACAUCUCCUUGUGUGAAAAACUCCGGUGGUACAGGAUGGGCCCGCGUCUGAUUAGCUGGUUGGCAGGGUAACGGCCUACCAAGGCAACGAUCAGUAGCCGGUCUGAGAGGAUGAACGGCCACAUUGGAACUGAGACACGGUCCAAACUCCUACGGGAGGCAGCAGUGGGGAAUAUUGCACAAUGGGGGAAACCCUGAUGCAGCAACGCCGCGUGAGUGAAGAAGUAUUUCGGUAUGUAAAGCUCUAUCAGCAGGGAAGAUAAUGACGGUACCUGACUAAGAAGCUCCGGCUAAAUACGUG
rnacentral:rRNA from 1 species